AUAAUUAUAUACAAUCAAUAUUUUUAACAAUCCAUUUAUAAUAGCAUGAGUGAUGUGAAAUUAUAUACAAUCAUGAACAUUGUAAGGAAAUGUACAAGUUUGCAUAGAACCAUAGAUAUUAGAGGACCUAGAAACUAAAAUGAAAUUGUGGGCGUGGCUAUGCUAAGUCCAAGAUUGCGCAUGCUCAGUAGAUCUAGAGCUGUGAAACCAUGUGCUCCAAGAAAAGAGAACACCCUUACCAUAUGCUGGACAUUUGCUGCUAUAAAUCUGACUGUGAUGAUACUUCUGUGAGAGGUAUGACUGUGACUACACCAAGUGGAUGAUGAUACUUCUAGUUCUGUGAGAGGUAUGACUGUGACUACACCAAGUGGAUGAUGUGAGAGAAAUUCCUUAAACUGGCAAGCUUGACAUGCGAGAACAAACGAAACAAACAGACGAAUGGAUAGAAGUGGCGUCAUUGUUGGAUAUCCUCUCGGUGAUUGAUAAUACACGGUGGACUCUGCGUGGUCAAGAGUGAUCAGUCUGCUAUACUUGUGAGUCCAGUAUGUUACACCAAGAAGAACUAUUCCUUGGGCUAAUUAAUUUAAAACUGUCCUUCUAAUUUAACAUUGUAUACCAUUGUCUCACUCAGUUGUCACGAACGUUUCCUAUCACUAUUUUUGUAUUAACAUAUUAUUUAUUGAAUUGAAUAAUAAUUGUUAUACCGA